rnacentral:rRNA from 1 species
CCUACGGGAGGCAGCAGUGGGGAAUUUUGGACAAUGGGCGCAAGCCUGAUCCAGCAAUGCCGCGUGAGUGAAGAGGGCCUUCGGGUUGUAUAGCUCUUUUGUCAGGGAAGAAACGGGCGAGGCUAAUAUCCUCGUCUAAUGACGGUACCUGAAGAAUAAGCACCGGCUAACUACGUGCCAGCAGCCGCGGUAAUACGUAGGGUGCAAGCGUUAAUCGGAAUUACUGGGCGUAAAGCGUGCGCAGGCGGUUUUGUAAGUCUGUCGUGAAAUCCCCGGGCUCAACCUGGGAAUGGCGAUGGAGACUGCAAGGCUAGAAUCUGGCAGAGGGGGGUAGAAUUCCACGUGUAGCAGUGAAAUGCGUAGAGAUGUGGAGGAACACCGAUGGCGAAGGCAGCCCCCUGGGUCAAGAUUGACGCUCAUGCACGAAAGCGUGGGGAGCAAACAGGAUUAGAUACCCUGGUAGUCCACGCCCUAAACGAUGUCUACUAGUUGUCGGGUCUUAAUUGACUUGGUAACGCAGCUAACGCGUGAAGUAGACCGCCUGGGGAGUACGGUCGCAAGAUUAAAACUCAAAGGAAUUGACGG